rnacentral:rRNA from 1 species
AUUGAACGCUGGCGGCAUGCCUUACACAUGCAAGUCGAACGGCAGCACGGGUGCUUGCACCUGGUGGCGAGUGGCGAACGGGUGAGUAAUACAUCGGAACGUACCUUAUCGUGGGGGAUAACGCAGCGAAAGUUGCGCUAAUACCGCAUACGCCCUGAGGGGGAAAGCGGGGGACCGUAAGGCCUCGCGCGAUUAGAGCGGCCGAUGUCUGAUUAGCUUGUUGGUGAGGUAAAAGCUCACCAAGGCGAAGAUCAGUAGCUGGUCUGAGAGGACGAUCAGCCACACUGGGACUGAGACACGGCCCAGACUCCUACGGGAGGCAGCAGUGGGGAAUUUUGGACGAUGGGGGCAACCCUGAUCCAGCAAUGCCGCGUGAGUGAAGAAGGCCUUCGGGUUGUAAAGCUCUUUUGUCAGGGAAGAAACAGCAGCUCUAGCACAGUCUGCGAAUGACGGUACCUGAAGAAUAAGCACCGGCUAACUACGUGCCAGCCGCCGCGGUAA